UAGUGGCGAACGGGUGAGUAACACGUGGGCAAUCUGCCCUUCACUCUGGGACAAGCCCUGGAAACGGGGUCUAAUACCGGAUACGACCUCCGACCGCAUGGUCUGGUGGUGGAAAGCUCCGGCGGUGAAGGAUGAGCCCGCGGCCUAUCAGCUUGUUGGUGGGGUGAUGGCCUACCAAGGCGACGACGGGUAGCCGGCCUGAGAGGGCGACCGGCCACACUGGGACUGAGACACGGCCCAGACUCCUACGGGAGGCAGCAGUGGGGAAUAUUGCACAAUGGGCGAAAGCCUGAUGCAGCGACGCCGCGUGAGGGAUGACGGCCUUCGGGUUGUAAACCUCUUUCAGCAGGGAAGAAGCGAGAGUGACGGUACCUGCAGAAGAAGCGCCGGCUAACUACGUGCCAGCAGCCGCGGUAAUACGUAGGGCGCAAGCGUUGUCCGGAAUUAUUGGGCGUAAAGAGCUCGUAGGCGGCUUGUCACGUCGGAUGUGAAAGCCCGGGGCUUAACCCCGGGUCUGCAUUCGAUACGGGCAGGCUAGAGUUCGGUAGGGGAGAUCGGAAUUCCUG
rnacentral:rRNA from 1 species